GGUGAAAAUUAGCCAGAAAGUUCAGAAGUUAUCAAGAAAAGGAGGAGAGGAACAGAUGGACGAAAGAGGAGUUGACAGACAGCAUGAUCUCAUAAUCCCCGCUGGCACAGGAAUUCAGGCUAGAAUUGAAAUAUUUUAGGUACCACUGUAUUUAGAACCAACAUGCAUGACAAACUGAAACACAAACUAGGGGAUGUCACACGCUGCAGCUGAGAGAAAAGAAUGUAAUUUACAGAAGGAUUUAAGCUCCCUCCUUCCUCUCAUCUCUCAUCAGCUAAAAUGAUUGUUUUUGUCUGGCUGCACAUCACUUGUGAUGUGACUUUCAUAUUUGACAAAAUAAACAUGCAGAACUUGUA